rnacentral:rRNA from 1 species
GACGAACGCUGGCGGCGUGCUUAACACAUGCGAGUCGAACGGAAAGGCCCUGCUUUUGUGGGGUGCUCGAGUGGCGAACGGGUGAGUAACACGUGAGUAACCUGCCCUUGACUUUGGGAUAACUUCAGGAAACUGGGGCUAAUACCGGAUAGGAGCUCCUGCUGCAUGGUGGGGGUUGGAAAGUUUCGGCGGUUGGGGAUGGACUCGCGGCUUAUCAGCUUGUUGGUGGGGUAGUGGCUUACCAAGGCUUUGACGGGUAGCCGGCCUGAGAGGGUGACCGGCCACAUUGGGACUGAGAUACGGCCCAGACUGCUACGGGAGGCAGCAGUGGAGAAUAUUGCACAAUGGGCGGAAGCCUGAUGCAGCAACGCCGCGUGCGGGAUGACGGCCUUCGGGUUGUAAACCGCUUUCGCCUGUGACGAAGCGUGAGUGACGGUAAUGGGUAAAGAAGCACCGGCUAACUACGUG